GCCAGCAGCCGCGGUAAUACCGGCGGCUCGAGUGGUGGCCACUUUAUUGGGCUUAAAGCGUUCGUAGCUGGGUUAUUAAGUCCCUUGGGAAAUCCGACAGCUUAACUGUCGGGCGUCUAAGAGAUACUGGUAAUCUUGGAACCGGGAGAGGUGAGGGGGUACUUCGGGGGUAGGAGUGAAAUCCUGUAAUCCUCGAGGGACCACCUGUGGCGAAGGCGCCUCACCAGAACGGCUUCGACAGUGAGGGACGAAAGCUGGGGGAGCAAACCGGAUUAGAUACCCGGGUAGUCCCAGCCGUAAACGAUGUGCGUUAGGUGUAUCGGUGACCACGAGUCACCGAGGUGCCGAAGGGAAACCGUGAAACGUACCGCCUGGGAAGUACGGUCGCAAGGUUGAAACUUAAGGAAUUGGCGGGGGAGCACCACAACAGGUGGAGCCUGCCGGUUUAAUUGGACUCAACGCCGGAAAUCUCACCGGAUAAGACAGCAGAAUGAUUGCCGGGCUGAAGACUCUGCAUGACUAGCUGAGGGGAGGUGCAUGG
rnacentral:rRNA from 1 species